rnacentral:rRNA from 1 species
GACGAACGCUGGCGGCGUGCUUAACACAUGCAAGUCGAACGGAAAGGCCCUGCUUGCAGGGUACUCGAGUGGCGAACGGGUGAGUAACACGUGGGUGAUCUGCCCUGCACUUCGGGAUAAGCCUGGGAAACUGGGUCUAAUACCGGAUAGGAGCCAUUUUUAGUGUGAUGGUUGGAAAGUUUUUUCGGUGUAGGAUGAGCUCGCGGCCUAUCAGCUUGUUGGUGGGGUAAUGGCCUACCAAGGCGGCGACGGGUAGCCGGCCUGAGAGGGUGGACGGCCACAUUGGGACUGAGAUACGGCCCAGACUCCUACGGGAGGCAGCAGUGGGGAAUAUUGCACAAUGGGCGCAAGCCUGAUGCAGCGACGCCGCGUGGGGGAUGACGGCCUUCGGGUUGUAAACUCCUUUCGCUAGGGACGAAGCUUGUGUGACGGUACCUAGAUAAGAAGCACCGGCUAACUACGUG